UCCUUAGAUGUCCUGGGCUGCACGCGCGCUACACUGAUGUGUCCAGUAAGCACCUAACCUCUUCCGAAAGGAACGGGUAACCUUUGCAAAGCACAUCGUGAUGGGGAUAGAUUAUUGCAAUUAUUAGUCCUGAACGAGGAAUUCCUAGUAAGCACAAGUCAUCAGCUUGUGUUGAUUACGUCCCUGCCCUUUGUACACACCGCCCGUCGCUCCUACCGAUUGAAUGUUCCGGUGAGCUCUUCGGACUGCGCGGUCUGCAGUUUCUGCGUUCCGUGCGGAAAGUUGCGCAAACCUUAACAUUUAGAGGAAGGAGAAGUCGUAACA
rnacentral:rRNA from 1 species